rnacentral:rRNA from 1 species
GAUGAACGCUGGCGGCGUGCCUAAUACAUGCAAGUCGAGCGAACAGACGAGGAGCUUGCACCUUUGACGUUAGCGGCGGACGGGUGAGUAACACGUGGGUAACCUACCUAUAAGACUGGGAUAACUUCGGGAAACCGGAGCUAAUACCGGAUAAUAUUUCGAACCGCAUGGUUCGAUAGUGAAAGAUGGCUUUGCUAUCACUUAUAGAUGGACCUGCGCCGUAUUAGCUAGUUGGUAAGGUAACGGCUUACCAAGGCAACGAUACGUAGCCGACCUGAGAGGGUGAUCGGCCACACUGGAACUGAGACACGGUCCAGACUCCUACGGGAGGCAGCAGUAGGGAAUCUUCCGCAAUGGGCGAAAGCCUGACGGAGCAACGCCGCGUGAGUGAUGAAGGUCUUCGGAUCGUAAAACUCUGUUAUUAGGGAAGAAUAAACGUGUAAGUAACUGUGCACGUCUUGACGGUACCUAAUCAGAAAGCCACGGCUAACUACGUG